CGGAAGGCGUGACUGGAGCUGUGACAAGAGGCCGGAGAGCGGAGCCGGGGCGGUAAUGUGGCCCAAGCCGGGGUUAGGCCGGGCCUGAACCGAAAGGCUGGCUGAGGCCAGGGAGCAGAUCGCGAGUCUUGGAAGGCGGAGCUGGGAAACAAGGUCCAGCUGGGAGGCCGGAGCUGCGGCGAUUAAGAGAUGAAGCCAGAAAAUACCCACACUGGCCUUGGUGUGAGGCGACAGACCCUCUCCACCAGGGCAGGCGGGCAUAAUUGACGCAAACUCUUUAAAGACAGUUUGGCAAUAUUGAUUGUAGCCUCUGUUGGACCCAACACUACUACUUCUAGGAUCUCAAAUUGUCAAAAAGAGUGAGAGACCACAGAAAACAAUGCUUCCCGCUCUGGCAGGCAUCUUGUGACUGGGAGAAAAGGUCAAAAGGAUUGCACGGAGGUCAAGUCACUGGGCUGGACCGCAGCCCAGAUCUUCCUGAUGCCAGGGCGUGGGCCUCUCUCACACUGUUCCACGGCUUCCAUCUCCCCUGGAAAACCCACACCACCACGCAGGGGGGAUGCCUCCUGGGCCCCCCUCACCGCACCUGUCAAUGCGUGGCCAGGACCUCUUCAUUUGUCUUUUCACUUGUCCUCUUCCCCUAUCGGACUGAACUCUGAGGCGGCAGGACCACCUUGGUCACUGCUGUAUCCCCAAGGCCUGCCGACACACUGAGAUGUCAGGGAAAGGGACCCCCUGAACGACGCCCUCCACCCCUAAGAUUAUUCCCCCGGGGUGAGCCCUGGGUGGGGGGGGGGCCUUGAAGGUCAGCAGAGGUGUCCCUGCUCUCGCAGUUACAGGAGGUUCCUAAGAACCAUCUGCUGCCCUGCCUGCAGAGUGAAGGGAGAGGAUCCCGCAUCCAAGCCUCUUCUUGUGGGUCGGAAACCCGGAAACAAGGGAGCAGAGGGGGGCUGCCCAGCUUGCUCCUGCCGUCAUGACCCGGAACUCCCCUUCCUGGGAAGCACCCACCUCCCCCGGAAGGAGCAAAUCUGGCUGCAGAUCCUACUGCCUCCUAGACAGGGGGCUGGGGCUGCCCUGGCCCUGCAGUAGGCAGUCACUGAGCCCCCUCAUGGGAAGCCCCAGUUAUAAUUACCAGAGUGUGGGAUGGACAGGAAGGUGUGGCGUCCUGUGUCCUGAGGCUCCUCCCCCUCUCACCUGGCUUCAGCGAAGUGUCUGUAGCCCUGGCAGCCUAGGCCUGGGACUUCCCAUUAGCCCACCUGGAGCUGGCAGCCGGCACCCCCCACCCCAGGAUCCUCACCGCCCCAUGGAGCCCAGCCCCCAGCAAUCCCAGCCUUUCUUUUCCUCCCCUUUCAAUUCUCCCCCAGCCCAUAACUCAGCAUCGUGAUCCUGUGCUUGAGCUAUCUUUGAUCACACAUUGAGAAAUUAGAACUUUUUUAAA